rnacentral:rRNA from 1 species
GACGAACGCUGGCGGCGUGCUUAACACAUGCAAGUCGAACGGAAAGGCCCUGCUUUUGUGGGGUGCUCGAGUGGCGAACGGGUGAGUAACACGUGAGUAACCUGCCCUUGACUUUGGGAUAACUUCAGGAAACUGGGGCUAAUACAGGAUAGGAGCUCCUGCUGCAUGGUGGGGGUUGGAAAGUUUCGGCGGUUGGGGAUGGACUCGCGGCUUAUCAGCUUGUUGGUGAGGUAGUGGCUUACCAAGGGUUUGACGGGUAGCCGGCCUGAGAGGGUGACCGGCCACAUUGGGACUGAGAGACGGCCCAGACUGCUACGGGAGGCAGCAGGGGGGAGUAUUGCACAGUGGGCGGAAGCCUGAUGCAGCAGCGCCGCGUGCGUGAUGACGGCCUUCGAGUGGUAAACCGCUGUCGCCUGUGACGAAGCGUGAGUGACGGUAAUGGGUAAAGAAGCACCGGCUAACUACGUG